GACGAACGCUGGCGGCGUGCCUAAUACAUGCAAGUUGAGCGAUGAAGAUUGGUGCUUGCACCAAUUUGAAGAGCAGCGAACGGGUGAGUAACGCGUGGGGAAUCUGCCUUUGAGCGGGGGACAACAUUUGGAAACGAAUGCUAAUACCGCAUAAUAACUUUAAACAUAAGUUUUAAGUUUGAAAGAUGCAAUUGCAUCACUCAAAGAUGAUCCCGCGUUGUAUUAGCUAGUUGGUGAGGUAAAGGCUCAACAAGGCGAUGAUACAUAGCCGACCUGAGAGGGUGAUCGGCCAAAUUGGGAAUGAGACACGGCCCAAACUCCUACGGGAGGCAGCAGUAGGGAAUCUUCGGCAAUGGACGAAAGUCUGACCGAGCAACGCCGCGUGAGUGAAGAAGGUUGUCGGAUCGUAAAACUCUGUUGGUAGAGAAGAACGUUGGUGAGAGUGGAAAGCUCAUCAAGUGACGGUAACUACCCAGAAAGGGACGGCUAACUACGUG
rnacentral:rRNA from 1 species